rnacentral:rRNA from 1 species
CUGCGGAGGAUCAUUAAUGAAAAUGUGUUGCCGGGGCCCAUAAUCCCGGCACUAACCUUCUUAUCCAUAACACCUGUGCACUGUUGGAUGCUUGCAUCCACUUUUAUACUAAACAAUUUGUAACAAAUGUAGUCUUAUUAUAAUUAAUAAAACUUUUAACAACGGAUCUCUUGGCUCUCGCAUCGAUGAAGAACGCAGCGAAAUGCGAUAAGUAAUGUGAAUUGCAGAAUUCAGUGAAUCAUCGAAUCUUUGAACGCACCUUGCGCUCCUUGGUAUUCCGAGGAGCAUGCCUGUUUGAGUGUCAUAAACCUCUCAAACCCAAGUUUUGGAUUUAUCCUUGCUUGAGUUUGGAUUUGGGUGUUUGCCAGUGAUGAACUGACUCACCUUAAAAGUAUUAGCUAGAUCUGUCUUUGACUGGUUUGACUUGGCAUAAUAAGUAUUUUGCUAAGGACAUCUUCGGAUGGCCAGGACUUGACUUUUGUCUGCUUACUAAACCUUACUUUAAGUGCAUCUCUGGUGUUACUUAUAGUAUUACUUUGACAUAUGGCCUCAAAUCAGGUAGGACUACCCGCUGAACUUAAGCAUAUCAAUAAGCGGAGGAA